GGAGGAUCCGAGCGUUAUCCGGAUUUAUUGGGUUUAAAGGGAGCGUAGGUGGAUUGUUAAGUCAGUUGUGAAAGUUUGCGGCUCAACCGUAAAAUUGCAGUUGAAGCUGGCAGUCUUGAGUACAGUAGAGGUGGGCGGAAUUCGUGGUGUAGCGGUGAAAUGCUUAGAUAUCACGAAGAACUCCGAUUGCGAAGGCAGCUCACUGGACUGCAACUGACACUGAGGCUCGAAAGUGUGGGUAUCAAACAGGAUUAGAUACCCUGGUAGUCCACACAGUAAACGAUGAAUACUCGCUGUUUGCGAUAUACGGCAAGCGGCCAAGCGAAAGCAUUAAGUAUUCCACCUGGGGAGUACGCCGGCAACGGUG
rnacentral:rRNA from 1 species